AUGUAGUGUAAUUCCUACAACAUUCAUGCAUUGAAUCCCAUUAGAACUUCGCAAUUAAGCAUACUUGGCAUAGAGUAGUAAUGGGCUAGGUGACCUCUCAAGAGGUCCUAGUGUUUUAUAUG
rnacentral:rRNA from 1 species